GGAAGGGGUGUAUUUAUUAGAUAAAAUGCCAAUGCGGGCAACCGCUUUUCUGGUGAUUCAUAAUAACUUUUCGAAUCGCAUGGCCUUGUGCUAGCGAUGUCUCAUUCAAAUUUCUGCCCUAUCAACUUUCGAUGGUAGGAGAGAGGCCUACAAUGGUUUUAACGAGUAACGGGGAAUUAGGGUACGAUUCCGGAGAGGGAGCCUGAGAAACGGCUACCACAUCCAAGGAAGGCAGCAGGCGCGCAAAUUACCCAAUCCCGAUCCGGGGAGGUAGUGACAAUAAAUAACAAUACAGAGCUUUAUAGUCGUGUAAUUGGAGUCAGUACAAUUUAAAUCUCUUAACGAGGAACAAUUGGAGUGCAAGUCUGGUGCCAGCAGCCGCGGUAAUUCCAGCUCCAAUAGCGUAUAUUAAAGUUGUUGCAGUUAAAAGGCUCGUAGUUGAAUUUUAGGCCUCGUUGGACGGUCUGCUCUAGGGUUUGUACUGUCCUGACUGGGUCUUACCUUCUGGUGAGCUGUCGUAUUGUUUACUCAGUGCGGCAGGGAACCAGGACUUUUAC
rnacentral:rRNA from 1 species